GAAAUGCAUAGAUAUUACUUAGNACACCAAUUGCGAAGGCAGGUUACUAAGCAACAACUGACGCUGAUGGACGAAAGCGUGGGGAGCGAACAGGAUUAGAUACCCUGGUANNNCACGCCGUAAACGAUGCUAACUCGUUUUUGGAAUGUAAGUUUCAGAGACUAAGCGAAAGUGAUAAGUUAGCCACNUGGGGAGUACGAACGCAAGUUUGAAACUCAAAGGAAUUGACGGGGGCCCGCACAAGCGGUGGAUUAUGUGGUUUAAUUCGAUGAUACGCGAGGAACCUUACCAAGGCUUAAAUGGGAAAUGACAGGUUUAGAAAUAGACUUUUCUUCGGACAUUUUUCAAGGUGCUGCAUGGUUGUCGUCAGCUCGUGCCGUGAGGUGUUAGGUUAAGUCCUGCAACGAGCGCAACCCCUGUCACUAGUUGCCAUCAUUAAGUUGGGGACCCUAGUGAGACUGCCUACGCAAGUAGAGAGGAAGGUGGGGAUGACGUCAAAUCAUCACGGCCCUUACGCCUUGGGCCACACACGUAAUACAAUGGCCGGUACAGAGGGCAGCUACACUGCGAAGUGAUGCAAAUCUCGAAAGCCGGUCUCAGUUCGGAUUGGAGUCUGCAACUCGACUCUAUGAAGCUGGAAUCGCUAGUAAUCGCGCAUCAGCCAUGGCGCGGUGAAUACGUUCCCGGGCCUUGUACACACCGCCCGUCAAGCCAUGGAAGUCUGGGGUACCUGAAGUCGGUGACCGUAACAGGAGCUGCCUAGGGUAAAACAGGUAACUAGGGCU
rnacentral:rRNA from 1 species